rnacentral:lncRNA from 1 species
GCCAAACAGAACACAUCUGUGGGCUGGAGUGAGUUUGUACCAGUUUGCAACCUGGCAUAAAAUAGGUGUUCUGUAAACAGAAGCACCUGCUCCUGCUGCCUGAUGUCUCAGGUGGGUGGUGCUCAAGAGAUGUGCCAGGCUGCACGUGCAGCUGAUCUGCUCCAGAUUUCCAGGAUGGACAAGGAGAAGGCCUAUGGCAAAGCUGCAUCUGAAGGUUUGCUCUGGGAUUCUUGUGGCUUGGAACCACCAGGCUGGAUGCUUCACUUUCUCUCUGGCAGCAGUAUAGCUGUGGCUCUGGGGAAGAGUUUUGUACCUCCGAAGUGGGUGUCCCUGGUUCGCCCUGAGGCUCCUGAGUGAGUGAUGGGCAUCUUAAGAUGCAAAACCUCAUGAAGAAGAGUUCACAACCAGGUACGCCGCGAGAGGACCAGCUCUUUGGAGAUGAAAUGCAGCACAUGUUAAGUCAUGGGUUCAAGUCAAACAUGCUCUAACGGACACAUAGUGGAACCAAAGGCAUAGUUUAGCAGCAGGUCUUCCGGAAAACAAGCAACCAACACAAGCAAAACCCUGACUUGCUAAGACAGAAGGUGGGAGUGGGAGCAGCUUUGACAAGGUCAGGUUAUUCUACAUAUUGCGUUUGUGUAAAUUAGAGCAAGAGCCCCCUGCUGGGUGGAUGUGGCACUGCUAGACCAUGGCUUGGCAGGUCCAAGGCAACUUUCUU